rnacentral:tRNA from 1 species
GAGCCGGACAAUCGAACUGCUAACUCCAACGUCC